AUGUGGAAGCAUAACCGAAACUUUCUUUGGCUCUUUGUACUUCUCAUGGAUGCAACUGCAGUACAGAGGGCAAAAAACGAACGGCCCAGCACCUUAAUGCCACAACCGAUUGUUUUGCUUUACCCUCACCGGGCUCCUCGGGCACUUUUAAGUGGGUGUUUUAGCAAGAAGAAAAAGGAAAAUAAUCACCUGGCUGCCCCAGCGGAGGGAACUGAUGGUGGGCGCUCGAUGGCUCCUGCUGAGGAAAGCGGCGUGAGCCCGUGCAGGAUGGGGAAGGGCUCUGCCUCAGGGGAGGAGGAAUGGCGGGCUUUGCGAGGAAGGCGCCUUCGGCCAACCGCGUGGGGAGGAAGAGCGGGCUGGNNNNNNNNNNNNNNNNNNNNNNNNNNNNNNNNNNNNNNNNNNNNNNNCCGCGGGGGGGGGGGGCGCCGCUUCCCUGCGGGUCGGGGCGGCGCAGCGCCGAUCCGCUCCUCCUCCCCUUCGUGCCGUCCGCGCCGCGUCUCUCCCAGAGACAGCUAAUUCUUGAGUUCAGACUGUCCUGAGUGAGCCGAGAUUGCCAUCGUUAAAGAAAACACAUCAUGACCUCCAGUUCUCCUUUUGCAGUAGCGACCCGGCAGGGGGAUGGUUAUCACUGUAAUAUAGAUUUUCCCAGGAGACGAAUUUGACCUGGAGGCACAAUGGCUCAUACUUCUGAGGGAAGGGAGCCACCUCUGUAAGACAACUCUGAAAUUAAGAGUGAGCGGAAGCAAGCUCUCCUUUGUUUGCUGUGUUCGAAGACAUUGUGUCACACGUGAAUUAAGAUUGGUAAAAUCACUUUCAGUCUCUCCCAGAGACAGCUAAUUCUUGAGUUCAGACUGUCCUGAGUGAGCCGAGAUUGCCAUCGUUAAAGAAAACACAUCAUGACCUCCAGUUCUCCUUUUGCAGUAGCGACCCGGCAGGGGGAUGGUUAUCACUGUAAAAUAGAUUUUCCCAGGAGACGAAUUUGACCUGGAGGCACAAUGGCUCAUACUUCUGAGGGAAGGGAGCCACCUCUGUAAGAGUAACUUUCAGUGCUGCUCACAGAAGGACUGUGCCAACAAGUAUGGGAAAGUCUCUCCAAGAUUCCACUUGCCCUGGGCUGGCACUGAGCUGUAUGCACAUACUUAGCUGUUGCCCUUGCCAGAACUGGCUAUAGGGUGCUAUGAAAUCUUGAAGAUAUUUCAGCCGCUGGCUGCUAGUAGCUAGUGCUAUGGCAUGGGACUUCAUUUCACAGAGAAUUAGAGGAACAGUUUUUGCUGGAUUAACAAAAUUUCAGAAGAAACUUACUAUUGAUUUAGUUUUCAGCUCUUCAGAUGUAUUCAUGUUGGUCUUAAAUAAGCUUCUCUGAAUGACUGCUAUUAAUUAGUUUGCUCCUUCUAUGGGCUUUGUUGCUUCAUCAUACCCCGUCUUCUUGGGAGCAGAUGACUCGGUGUGGAGUUAAUUCUUCAGUUUACCCAAAUGUGGAGUUUCUUUUCAGCUAUUGAGGCCUUUCAACUUCUUUAUCUACAACGUUUCCUUUUAAUAAGAUCUUGUUGUAAUAAAUGCUAUUGCUACCAGAGUAUUCCUCA
ensembl:lncRNA